ACACAAUUGCGGGCAGCUUUACACAUGCAGUCGAACGGUAACAGGGUGCUUGCACCGCUGACGAGUGGCGAACGGGUGAGUAAUGCAUCGGAAUGUACCGUGUAAUGGGGGAUAGCUCGGCGAAAGCCGGAUUAAUACCGCAUACGCCCUGAGGGGGAAAGUGGGGGACCGUAAGGCCUCACGUUAUACGAGCAGCCGAUGUCUGAUUAGCUAGUUGGUGGGGUAAAGGCUCACCAAGGCGACGAUCAGUAGCGGGUCUGAGAGGAUGAUCCGCCACACUGGGACUGAGACACGGCCCAGACUCCUACGGGAGGCAGCAGUGGGGAAUUUUGGACAAUGGGCGCAAGCCUGAUCCAGCCAUGCCGCGUGUCUGAAGAAGGCCUUCGGGUUGUAAAGGACUUUUGUCCGGGAGCAAAUCCCAGUGGUUAACACCUACUGGGGCUGAGAGUACCGGAAGAAUAAGCACCGGCUAACUACGUGCCAGCAGCCGCGGUAAUACGUAGGGUGCAAGCGUUAAUCGGAAUUACUGGGCGUAAAGCGUGCGCAGGCGGUUGUGCAAGUCUGAUGUGAAAGCCCCGGGCUUAACCUGGGAACGGCAUUGGAGACUGCACGACUAGAGUGCGUCAGAGGGGGGUAGAAUUCCGCGUGUAGCAGUGAAAUGCGUAGAGAUGCGGAGGAAUACCGAUGGCGAAGGCAGCCCCCUGGGAUGACACUGACGCUCAUGCACGAAAGCGUGGGGAGCAAAACAGGAUUAGAUACCCCUGGUAGUCCACGCCCUAAACGAUGUCAAACUAGCUGUUGGGGGUUUGAAUCCUUUGGUAGCGAAGCUAACGCCGAGAAGUUGACCGCCUGGGGAGUACGGGCCGCAAGGUUAAAAAUUCAAAGGAAUUGAGGGGGGACCCGCACAAGCGGUGGGAUGAUGUGGAUUAUUCCAUGCAACGCGAAAAACACUUACCUU
rnacentral:rRNA from 1 species